CCUCCCCUUACCCAUGCACCAGGUACACGUCGUGAAUACACUCGGUGACAGAUUCACAAGGACGCAGAGCUUCCCCAGGGCCUGUCCCUCUUGUACUUCCGAAGGCCACCAGAGCACUGCCUUUGAAGUCAAAGGGAUCUGGACUUGAGCUACAUGACCUUGGGCCAGAACUUGAUCUCUGUGUUGCCAGUGGAAAUAGGAUUCUUCCAUGGAGUCACAAGAAAAGCAUUUCGGGGACCCACGCAUAGGAGGAUCUUCCUGGAACCCUCCUCAUUCUACGUGGGAGAAGAAAGAAGAAAUGAAGGUGUUGUCUUAGAAACUAUGGUUGGGAUUUUCCCCUGUAAGAACGCACAUGGUUGUCCUUUUCCCGGAAAGUACCCUUCUGAGUUGGCCACCGGUCUGCCUCCUCCUGGCCUCUUGGGCCAGGCCAAGGGUCAGCGCCUCGGUGAGGCCACCCCGAAACCUGACGCUCCGGCCGCUCCCACCACCCUGUCCAUCUCGGUGCGGAGCUCUGCUGUGUUGGACUAAACACACACCUGGCUAGAGACUGGGAGGCCUUGGAAGGGACGUCACCAGCCACGAGCAAGGGCAGGAACAGAAACUGGCCCAAUCUCUCCAGCUCCUUCUCUUCAGUCAAAACCAAACCAGCAGGCAUUCGCAGUGACUCAGACGCGUCCUCGCGCCACGCUGGGAAGUGACGGCCUGG